rnacentral:rRNA from 1 species
UCCCUCGCGGGGGGUGCCCGCCGGCGUACGAAAACUCUUUUGUAUUUUAGUGGCCUCUCUGAGAAAACAAGCAAAUAAGUUAAAACUUUCAACAACGGAUCUCUUGGUUCUGGCAUCGAUGAAGAACGCAGCGAAAUGCGAUAAGUAAUGUGAAUUGCAGAAUUCAGUGAAUCAUCGAAUCUUUGAACGCACAUUGCGCCCGCUAGUACUCUAGCGGGCAUGCCUGUUCGAGCGUCAUUUCAACCCUCAAGCCCUGCUUGGUGUUGGGGUCCUACGGCUGCCGUAGGCCCUGAAAACUAGUGGCGGGCUCGCUAUAACUCCGAGCGUAGUAGUAAAAUAUCUCGCUAGGGAGGUGUCGCGGGUUCCGGCCGUGAAAGCCCCAUCUUUUACACAAGGUUGACCUCGGAUCAGGUAGGAAUACCCGCUGAAC